rnacentral:rRNA from 18 species
GGCUUAACACAUGCAAGUCGAGCGCCCCGCAAGGGGAGCGGCAGACGGGUGAGUAACGCGUGGGAAUCUACCCAUCUCUACGGAAUAACUCAGGGAAACUUGUGCUAAUACCGUAUACGCCCUUCGGGGGAAAGAUUUAUCGGAGAUGGAUGAGCCCGCGUUGGAUUAGCUAGUUGGUGGGGUAAAGGCCUACCAAGGCGACGAUCUCUAGCUGGUCUGAGAGGAUGAUCAGCCACACUGGAACUGAGACACGGUCCAGACUCCUACGGGAGGCAGCAGUGGGGAAUAUUGCGCAAUGGGGGAAACCCUGACGCAGCAAUGCCGCGUGAGUGAGGAAGGGUUUCGGCUCGUAAAGCUCUGUCAGAUGGGAAUAAUGGUCAAGGGUCUAAUAGGCCUUUGAUUUGAAGGUACCUUCAAAGGAAGCACCGGCUAACUUCGUGCCAGCAGCCGCGGUAAUACGAAGGGUGCAAGCGUUGUUCGGAUUUAUUGGGCGUAAAGCGCGCGCAGGCGGACGGCUAAGUCAGAUGUGAAAUCCCGGGGCUCAACCUCGGAACUGCGUCUGAAACUGGUCGUCUAGAAUCUCGGAGAGGAAAGGGGAAUUUCGCAUGUAGGGGUAAAAUCCGUAGAGAUGCGAAGGAACACCAGAGGCGAAGGCGCCUUUCUGGACGAGUAUUGACGCUGAGGCGCGAAAGCGUGGGGAGCAAACAGGAUUAGAUACCCU